GAUCUUUAUAUAUUAAAUAAUUAUACAAUAUUAGUUUAAUUUUUUUUUAAAAUUAUUAAUAUAUUAUAUUGGGGUAAUAAUAAAAUUUUAAAAAUUUUUAUUUUUUAAUAACGAUUAUGAUUGAUUUGUUGAUCCAGUAUUAUUGAUUAUAAAGUUAAGUUACCUUAGGGAUAACAGCGUAAUGAUUUUUGAGAGUUCUUAUCAA
rnacentral:rRNA from 1 species